GUUCGACACGUGUAGACGUGUAUGGCACCAACCCCUAUUGAGCCCGUCCAAUGGAGACAGAGUUCAUGUACCCAAUCGCACGCUUUCUGCUUUCUUAGCUUUCCAGUGCGUCUUUGAUAUACGCUAACAUUUGCUGUGAGCAUCGCAGUUGUUACACGGUCAUCAAAGAAUUCCUUUCCGGUAUUUGUUUCGGAAACUGCAGUUUUCCAGUUGGUCUUCGAGGAGCUAUCUCUCAUCAUGAAGGUUCUCGCAUUUGCCCUGAUGUUUUUGGCGCUUAUCUCCCUCGUCGUGUCCCUCUGCGAGAGUGAGGCAGAAAGCGUCGCCGCAUCAUGUACGGAGAAGGUGAGGGAGAGUUGGAAAUACAUCACUAUACAGGAUCCACUACUUGUCGGGCGUUUCAUCUGCUGCAUGGCAGACGACCUGGAUCUAUGUGUUCGAGGACGCUUGACGGGACCAUGUUCUGAUUUAGCGGCUUCGGCAUCUGAAAAGGCUAGAAAAGAUUUCUUCAGUGCUAUAGGGCGAAGCAUGGAGAUGUGCGUUGACCGCACGGGUCUCGAAUGCAAUGACCUGAACCCUAAUUUUGGAAACUUAGCGACCAUGCAGGAUUAAUCGCAUCGUUACUGUUCUGUAUUAAACCUGACAUUCUGACAUUUGC